AAGAUGAUAUGGAUGACUUAGGGAAGAAGAGAUUGCUAGAUGUCCCUCCCCUUAGUGGCCGGCCUCUUAGAGAAAAAUGAGAGAAAAUGUUUCACCCAAUUUCAACAAGAAAACCCUAAUGAGAAAAUUGCUAUAAAGUUGCUUUUAUAACAUUUUCUUUGGUGAGUGGCAAACUUGUAAUUAAGCAAACUUGCCCAUUCACCCUAAUGGCCGGCCUCUCCUUGUUAUUGGGCUAAUUUGCCCAUUUUGUUUUUGUUGUCAUACAACUUAAACAUAAUGGGCCUUUUGGACCAAAACGCUUUUGGGCCCCGAAACCCAAAACCAACAUAUAAGCCCAAUACGAACCUUUCGUAAAAUUAAUUAACUAAUUAAUUAAUCUUGACCAUUAUUCAAUUAAACCAUUUAAUUGCUUAUCCAUUUCAUAUAAUUUCUUCACAUACAUCCUUACUCGGUGUACGAUCCAUUAGGUUCUAAUUAG
rnacentral:lncRNA from 1 species